rnacentral:snoRNA from 1 species
UGGACCAAUGAUGAUGACUGGUGGAGUAUGAGUCAUGAACGAUGAAUACUUGUCUAGAACUCUGAGGUCCAG